AAGUGCCUCUCUGAGUGGGUGAUGUUUGAACUGGGUACUUAAGAAAGAGCCAGACAAUCAGAAGGACAGGACUGAAAGGAAAAGGAACAGCUACUGCAAAGGGCAAAGAGAGGAUAAGUGUGGCCUACCGAGGAACAGAAUGAAGGCUGGAGUGGGUGGGAUAGCAUAACUACAGGGGACUAAACAGUAGAAGACCUGGUGGCUGCCAGCCAUGAGAAGAGAGACAGACCUCGAGGAGUAACAAAAACCAACCAACCAACCAAUAAUUGCAUAAUGAGGAAAACGAAGCUAAACAGUAUCAGAAUACUGGAGUCGUGAUUUGAAUGGAAGCAGUCUGAAGCAGUAAUCCCCGCUUCUGACCCCAGUCGGAAGGUUAACCCUGAAUUGAAGCAGUUCAGGAAUUACCCUUAACCAUCACACAAAGCUGCCUCUCUUCACAAAAGCUGUCUUAUCCAUUCUCAAGAAGCAAGGAAAAGAAAAAAUGAAGCUUGGGAAAGGGUCCUUCCUGGCUGGCAAGCAGAACUGAGUUAAGGUCAGAGUUGUCUGUUUCACGUGUUAAAAAGUCUCUCGCACCACUUUCCCCGAGACGCUCGCGCGCUAACACGGCCGUGCACAUCCCUGCCAGGCGGACACCGCGACCGCCAGAAGCGGCCAGGGCUGAGGCGCGCGGAAGGGCUCCGGGAGAGGCCCUGUAGGAGGGCGGGCACGAGUGGGUACCUGGGCUGCUGCCUGCUCCAGUCGGCUGGUUCUCCCACCAUUCGUCUCCGAGAUCGUCUGCCAUCUCAGCUCAGGACUCGACGUGGGCGGAUCACAGGGGAAGGCGUCCGGCUGAGGAGAAUCAAGCUCUCUUCAAAGCCGGACGGCUGGCGUCUCUGCACGCGGAGCCUCCCCUAGACCGGUCCCGCGGUCGCCUCCGCCCCGCGGCGAUGACGUCAAGCCUCCGCCCCGCCUCUCCGGAAGCCUCUGCGAGACUCGUUACAGUUUCCACACAGGCGCCGACAGGCAGAAGCAGUUUGGAAAUGCAAAAUAAAUUUCCCCAAAGCUAAAAGACAAAAAAAGAAAUAAGCCAAAAGGGAUUGUCAUCGUUUUUGAUAAUGUAUUUCAAAAAAUUUUGUUUAGGUGUUACGUUUUCCAAUAAGGUUGUGUCGAAAGUGUGAAACACGAUGCUAAGACGAUUUUUUUCUGCUCAGUUUGAGUUGCGCCGCGGGAGAAGACUCGGACACGUGCGUGUGUUUUCGCUGGUGCGUCAGCGUUUCGGAAUUAUGUGUUUGUACAGUUUUCUCUUAGAAACCGUGCACAAGGAUCCAUGACCAUGAAUGUCAGGUCUUUGUGGUAAAUGUAGUUCUGCUAUUUAUGCAAUACGAGUAAAGAAAAUGUCAUUGGUCUGGAAAGGCUCGCCCACAGAGAGACGCAAUGGCCCGAAGACUUGAAAGCUGUUUCCCCAUACUCCCUGGGUUGUGUAUCCCACCCCCUAUUUGGGAAACGAACUAAUAAGGGAGUCCAUUGCUUCGUUACGAUGGGUAAGAGACCCCAAUGCCUGUUGUCCCAUUCCCAACGUGAAGUGGCAAGAGAGGGACUAGGAAAACCCUCUGGGCGCCAAGUGCUGGGGCUAGCUGUGGAGUAAUUAUGGACGGUAGUUUUCAGGACGGCCAUCAUACACGGAGAUAAAAAUUAUACAAAAUGUAUUAACAGCACGCAAUGUUUCUGGUACCAUGCAUGGAAUAGUAAGAUGAGUCUUUUCAGGUGUCACCCUAUAGUAGUGAAAAUGCAACUUGUGAGAAUAAAGGGCUAGACUUCCAAUGGAUGCAUCUUCGGAAAUGACAAGCCGGGGAAACUUAAUCUGAUGAGCAUAGAAUUAGCCAUAUAUGGAAAAUUACGCCAUGUAAAUCCAACUUAAGAUAGUUUAUAAAUGCAUUACUGCCUAGACUUUUAUCAGCACACUCUAAAUGUCCCCAAAGGUAGCACAUUAUGUAUAAAUGUGGCAAAUGUGAAAUAAUCUAUAAAGAUUAAAAGUAAUGUGGCUUUUGUGAAGAAACGUAGAUGACAGGAGAUUUUCGUGAUUAAUAGAUUAUUGGAAAAGAAAGAUAAGAAAUGCCAGUGUGGAAGAGGAAGUGCUAUGGCUAAUAAAUAUGCAAAG